rnacentral:snoRNA from 8 species
UGAUGGCUGUUCCUCUUACCGUUUGGAGCUCCGAGUAGUGGGAUUUUAGUCCAUCGUGCAUCUAAGCUGACUUCUCUUCACUCUGGGCACCAUGGGGAUGAGUUGGCUGUCCGUUAGUGCCUUCUGAAUUUUGCGGAGUCAAACAAUU